CGCGCUCAGGACAGUUCAGACAUUGCAGUGCAUCAGAGGCUCCCGCCUUUGAGGGUGCUAAGACUGGGCACCGUUCAUCCUCCAUAGAUGAACUGACUGCAGCCUUCCAGAGAAUACGUUUGAGUGUCACGACCUGCUCCCACAAACGCCCUGCUUCUGCUUUAUGCAGGCUGGGAAUGGAUACAGAUGAUACUGCGAAGAUGUCAAGACCUUGCAAAAGACCCAGAUGCUUUUAGUUCACGUC